CGGCUCCGCGCGGCUCCGCUCCUGGCUCCCCUCUGGCUCCUGGCACCAACUCCGGGCAGUCACAUGACGCCGGCGCCGCUCGCUCUGCGAGCCUCCCGGGGCUGGCGGGGAUCUGUUGAUUCAACGGGAAACAGAAGUGUCAGCAGUUGUGCUGCAUAUGAAUACAAUGGGAGAUUACCUUCAGCCUCCAAAAAGCACCAAUAAUACAAGGGUGACCAGGACGUCCCAUUAGUGGGGUUCCAGGUUCUCUCAGUUUCCUUUUCUGGGCUGAAGAUAAGAAAAAUGAAGAUUCAAAAAGAAGCAGACAUUGAUGAUGGUGGAAUCCUAAACUCGUUUCGUUUCAUACUUCGUGGAUGUCUGAAACAUGAAGAUUUUCCCCAG